UAGCAGUAAACGAUACUCGCUAGGUGUCGGCCACGGUGCGACCGUUGUCGGUGCCGUAGGGAAGCCGUGAAGCGAGCCACCUGGGAAGUACGGCCGCAAGGCUGAAACUUAAAGGAAUUGGCGGGGGAGCACAACAACGGGUGGAGCUUGCGGUUUAAUUGGAUUCAACGCCGGAAAUCUUACCGGGACCGACAGCAACAUGAAGGCCAAGCUGAAGACUUUGCCGGAUUAGCUGAGAGGUGGUGCAUGGCGUAGUCGUGU
rnacentral:rRNA from 1 species